rnacentral:rRNA from 1 species
CAGACUUGACAUCCUGUGAACCUCUUAGAAAUAAGAGGGUGCCUUCGGGAGCACAGAGACAGGUGCUGCAUGGCUGUCGUCAGCUCGUGUCGUGAGAUGUUCGGUUAAGUCCGGCAACGAGCGCAACCCUUGUCUUCAGUUGCCAGCACGUAAAGGUGGGAACUCUAGCGAGACUGCCCCGGUCAACGGGGAGGAAGGUGGGGAUGACGUCAAGUCCUCAUGGCCCUUAUAUCCAGGGCUACACACGUGCUACAAUGGUAAAUACAGAGGGCAGCGAGCCGGCGACGGUGAGCGAAUCCCUAAAGUUUAUCUCAGUCCGGAUUGGAGUCUGCAACUCGACUCCAUGAAGUUGGAAUCGCUAGUAAUCGUGGAUCAGCAUGCCGCGGUGAAUAUGUUCCCGGGCCU